UGCUCCCUUUUCAUCACAGCCCUGAUAAUGAAUUGCAGUGUACAAAGCCGGUCAUACAAUACGCAGCAGCGGCAGCGCGGAGCGAGAAUCUUUGGGAAGAGUUUCCAUAGAAACAUUGACGUCCUCCUGGCGAACAGGACACCGAGUUCCUUCAAUGGGAGAUAAAGAGGUGGGCCUCGAGGAUUGUCCAAUCCCCCCACGGACUGUGGCUUCUCCAUGCCGUGUCAUGUCUUUGGCCCCGUGGUUCCACGGGGCUCAUCUGCAACAGGCUUUUUCUCUGCAAAAAGGCUGCUCAUGGUCCUGAUGACGUGGAUAUGCAAUCACUGACCCUCCAAAACCCCAGGGAGAACCAUUUCAAGGAGGGCCUGAGCUAAAUACAGGCUCUCUACGACUGCAGCCUUGCUGGUGGCCGGCAGAGUCCCCCAGAGGAGACGACAGAGCUGAUACUGCAGAACUAACUGACAUUAAACUGGCAGAAUCCCAGCGCAAAGGUGAACUCGAGGAAAAAAUUAUAUUGGAUUUUAAUAAAACUUUCCUCAAAGGUCAACCUCUCUAAGCUGCCUUCUGUGUCUUGCUCAGGACUCCAGCAACUUCUGCCAGGUAAGCUAUAACAUUAGUAGCAUUCCACUUAAGAGAGAGUGAUGUCCUUGUGAGCUCUAAGCUCCUUAGAUCAGUCUAGGAGGAUCAGUCCGUUUGAGUGAUGUUGGCCCAGCAAAAUAACAUGAAUAUAUUAUAUAUAUAUAUUUAGGGUUUGGGUUUUUUUUUUAGAAGACUCACUAAUAUCUAUGAAAGUACCGUCUUAGGAGGGUUUCUUUCAGCUUCAUAAAGCCAUAGAUACUCAGAUCUGGAAACUGCUCUUCAAUCCAUGGCAUACAAGCUCCAGCUCUUGAUGGCCAAGUUUCUAAAAUCUUGGCAUCACUGGAGCCACUAACAUCACACACUGUAACAGCAGAGCAAUUUCUGUUGCUGGUGUUUGGAUUUGCCUGGCCAGCUGAUCUGUGGGGCAGGCCAGACCCAGAGCAUCCCAUGGGAAUUGGUACCAGGGCUUUCAGGGCUCCCAAGGUCGGAUGAACGAUGCAGGGCUGUUCUCACGGUCCCAGCCCAUCACUACUGUACCCUCUGUUCUCCCCCUUUUACUGCAAUACUUCCCUCCCUGCACUUCAAGGGCUGUUGCUCCCUCUCUGUCAAGAUUCACUGUCCCUCUAUUCAGUCUGACAGACACUUACCCAACCGCCAGGUCCUCCUUCCUCCAUCCCUUCCCUGCACAUCUCCCCAGACACUAAUCUCAUUCCUCAGCCCCCUGAGCUACACAGGCACAAGCCUGGGCACAGAGUCUCUGACUAUGGCUGUUUGCCCCGGGGGUAGGAAUCUGCACACCCGGAGUUAUCCCACACAUCCUGCCUUGUGCGCUCACUUGGCAGCUCAAGCUGUGGCAGCAGCCCCUGUCCUUCAGCCACUCUCCCUCAGAGGGAACUAUGUGCCCCUUCACAGCAUCAGAAACGAGUUGGGGCUCUCCUAGAAGAUGACCUGGCUGUUCUGGCUGAAUUCUGUUCUUGGUUAUUCUUUACUCCAUCAAAACAAUGUUACUUGCAAGGUAAUUUCGUGGCUUCCCAUCUCAAAAAACCUUUGUGGUCAGAGAGCUCCUGAUGCUGGGCAACACCUGAUAGGUCCAGACACCCUCUAUAAUCUGUAUUUAUGGAAAAACCACUGCUUAAGCUGCUAAAGGGAAAUGUAAGAGAAUCUACACUACAUUUCAAACUCACUGCUAAGAUAUAUGCUGGAGAGCAGCCAGGCCUGGUUGCUCACACUGAUAGAUGGUGGGGAAAAGGAACACGCGUUAAAAUCAGCAAAUGGAUAAAACUGGGCUAAAGAGAGAUGAAUACAAUGGGGAAAGCUUUCCAUUUUUCAAAAUCAAAGCUCAGGCUCCCACGCUAAAGGAAGAAUUGUGUUCCCAAAUAGGAAAAUGUUAAAAGAGAGACUGUACUAUUUUCAGGAAUGUAUGAUACAAAGCUUCAUGUCCACUGUCAGGAUAAAUCUUAUCUAUUCUGUACAGCAACAUUCAGUUAGCAGAGAAGAGGAUUCUAUGAAAAGGACAAAGAUGGGUGGUGGAAAUUCUGAGCCUUUCUUCCUACUGCUCUUAAAUUCUUGUCCUCGUUGACAUAAUUAGCAAAAAUGUUCUGAGAUAUAUUUAAUUCCUUUUAACAACUUUUAAGAUUAACAAACCGUAUUUUGGUUUCAGAUACUGUGUUGAUCAAUAAAUGCUGCUGAUUUAGAUUUUUAAAGAGCACUAGCAAUUAUUUGAGGAACCAAAUUUAGAUUUCUUUAGUAGAAAAGAAGGUUCCUUUGUUGAGACUAUGUAGUAUCUGCAAGGUCUUGUGGUAAGUAGUUUUACAAUACAGAGAUUUUGGCUCUAGAGAUUAUUCUGCAGAGACUCAGACCAUGGAAAUUGUAGUUCAGUUGCUGUCUGCCGGCCAACAUUGCAGGAUCUGGCUAUGAACAGGGCAUGAGAUCAAGCCCUUCUCAUUUAAUAUAGAUUAAGAAAGUCUUCUUACUUCUAAUCUCACUCCUGCCUCCUGCCCUGCUCUGAAAUACUCAUGGUGAUUUGCUCUGCUGGGGAAAAAACUUGUCAAGGUCUGUCAGGAAAGAUGAGAAUAUAUAUUUUUUCUUUUCUUUUAAGAUUAAUCUUCCAGUUGAAUAGAAUUGGCAACUUGAGUAAAAUUUUGCUACUGGAGUUAUUUUGUAUUGAUUGCAUUUUUAAAGAUUUUUCUAGCAGGGAGAGGCAGACAUUUUGUUAUUGCUAUGUAUUAAUCAAAAAGACUGAAAAAUACUGCAGGCCCUACUCUGACCCUUGUGGAUCAAAAAGGCAGCCGAGGUUUUAAGAAUACAAAUUAUCCCGGAUUAAACUCUGGGUUUAGGUGUUAAUAAUUUAACACUACUACAGUUUGGCCACCUACUUGUGAUGUGCUAUAUGUGGAUCGCUGCAGUUUAAAAGCAGGUUUUUUUCAGACAAACAAGGAUAAAUUGAAACUUCGAAUGGGCCACUAGAAGCGGGCUUGACUCUUGCAGACCUGAAGAGGUUAUUCUUAGGGUAAUUACCUGUCUUUAACAUUCAGAAUUAUAGAAUGGUUUGGGGUGGAAGGGACCCUAAAGAUGAUCUAGUUCCAUUUAAUAUCGGAUUUCCUUGAUAGCGUGGACUGCACGAGAAGCUGCCUUUCCUUAAGUCACAGAAAAGCCACAGUUUUUACAGCUUUAAAGGAUCCCACGGCUGCCUUGAUUACCAAUGUCUUGGCUCUGUACAUUUAAUUCAGCUCCUAAUGCUUCUCAUGUAGUGCUAAAGCCAUUUAAAAGAAAGUCUCUGCUUUUACAACCCCGCUUUUUUUAGCAGCUCAGCAGCAGUUACCGGGUUUGUAAAGCUCCUUACGGAAUCUCACCUGAAAACACUGAUCUGCGGCACUGUGCAGUUUUUCCCACUUCAAAGGGAAAUCUGCUGCUGCCACCCCAGAACUGAGCACAGCGAGACACCGAACUGUCACUGGGGGCUGAUGUCACCUCCCAAGGUGUGUUUGUUGUACCAGGGAGACUUCUGAGCGCUAAUGUCAGAAAAAACAAAACAAAACAACCACCUCUAUUUGUCUUUUCGCCUUCUCUGUUUAGGGAGUUGUUUCACGUUGUCUCUUUUUGUUCAAAACAAAUACCCAGGGCUCUCACUCAGAUUCCCAGUGAUGCUACAGCAGUUCCCAGUAGUCUCCCAGUUGCUAAUGCUUGUAAUUUUAUAAUGUUCAUACUUUAUUUUCCAUUCGGGGUGCACAGUGACGACAGGUGACUCAGUUUUCACCAAAGGCAUGUGCAACCCCUUAUGGUUAAAAAUGGGUGAGAAAUGGGGGGGGAGGGGGGAAAUCGUAAAUAUUUUUAGUCUUAAUCAAGAUCUUCAAGCUGUUUGCAAUACUGCAAUCCCAGUAGCAUCAACAUUGAUAUGUCUGAAUAAAUCUAUGUGUUUUACAAUGAA